rnacentral:rRNA from 1 species
GACAGAGGGUGCAAACGUUGUUCGGAAUUACUGGGCGUAAAGGGCGCGUAGGCGGCACUGUUAGUCAGGCGUGAAAGUCCUGGGCUCAACCUGGGAACUGCGCUUGAUACGGCAGAGCUAGAGGAUGGAAGAGGGUCGCGGAAUUCCCAGUGUAGAGGUGAAAUUCGUAGAUAUUGGGAAGAACACCGGUGGCGAAGGCGGCGACCUGGUCCAUUACUGACGCUGAGGCGCGACAGCGUGGGGAGCAAACAGG